rnacentral:rRNA from 1 species
AUUGAACGCUGGCGGCAGGCCUAACACAUGCAAGUCGAGCGGAUGAAGGGAGCUUUCUCCUGGAUUCAGCGGCGGACGGGUGAGUAAUUCCUAGGAAUCUGCCCGGUAGUGGGGGAUAACGUCCGGAAACGGGCGCUAAUACCGCAUACGUCCUGAGGGAGAAAGUGGGGGAUCUUCGGACCUCACGCUAUCAGAUGAGCCUAGGUCGCAUUAGCUAGUUGGUAGGGUAAAGGCCUACCAAGGCGACGAUCCGUAACUGGUCUGAGAGGAUGAUCAGUCACACUGGAACUGAGACACGGUCCAGACUCCUACGGGAGGCAGCAGUGGGGAAUAUUGGACAAUGGGCGAAAGCCUGAUCCAGCAAUGCCGCGUGUGUGAAGAAGGUCUUCGGAUUGUAAAGCACUUUAAGUUGGGAGGAAGGGAAGUAAGUUAAUACCUUGCUGUUUUGACGUUACCAACAGAAUAAGCAACGGCUAACUUCGUG